GAUAAACGCUGGCGGCGUGCCUAAUACAUGCAAGUCGAGCGAACGGACGAGAAGCUUGCUUCUCUGAUGUUAGCGGCGGACGGGUGAGUAACACGUGGAUAACCUACCUAUAAGACUGGGAUAACUUCGGGAAACCGGAGCUAAUACCGGAUAAUAUUUUGAACCGCAUGGUUCAAAAGUGAAAGACGGUCUUGCUGUCACUUAUAGAUGGAUCCGCGCUGCAUUAGCUAGUUGGUAAGGUAACGGCUUACCAAGGCAACGAUGCAUAGCCGACCUGAGAGGGUGAUCGGCCGCACUGGAACUGAGACACGGUCCAGACUCCUACGGGAGGCAGCAGUAGGGAAUCUUCCGCAAUGGGCGAAAGCCUGACGGAGCAACGCCGCGUGAGUGAUGAAGGUCUUCGGAUCGUAAAACUCUGUUAUUAGGGAAGAACAUAUGUGUAAGUAACUGUGCACAUCUUGACGGUACCUAAUCAGAAAGCCACGGCUAACUACGUGCCAGCAGCCGCGGUAAUACGUAGGUGGCAAGCGUUAUCCGGAAUUAUUGGGCGUAAAGCGCGCGUAGGCGGUUUUUUAAGUCUGAUGUGAAAGCCCACGGCUCAACCGUGGAGGGUCAUUGGAAACUGGAAAACUUGAGUGCAGAAGAGGAAAGUGGAAUUCCAUGUGUAGCGGUGAAAUGCGCAGAGAUAUGGAGGAACACCAGUGGCGAAGGCGACUUUCUGGUCUGUAACUGACGCUGAUGUGCGAAAGCGUGGGGAUCAAACAGGAUUAGAUACCCUGGUAGUCCACGCCGUAAACGAUGAGUGCGAAGUGUUAGGGGGUUUCCGCCCCUUAGUGCUGCAGCUAACGCAUUAAGCACUCCGCCUGGGGAGUACGACCGCAAGGUUGAAACUCAAAGGAAUUGACGGGGACCCGCACAAGCGGUGGAGCAUGUGGUUUAAUUCGAAGCAACGCGAAGAACCUUACCAAAUCUUGACAUCCUUUGACAACUCUAGAGAUAGAGCCUUCCCCUUCGGGGGACAAGGUGACAGGUGGUGCAUGGUUGUCGUCAGCCCGUGUCGUGAGAUGUUGGGUUAAGUCCCGCAACGAGCGCAACCCUUAAGCUUAGUUGCCAUCAUUAAGUUGGGCACUCUAAGUUGACUGCCGGUGACAAACCGGAGGAAGGUGGGGAUGACGUCAAAUCAUCAUGCCCCUUAUGAUUUGGGCUACACACGUGCUACAAUGGACAAUACAAAGGGCAGCGAAACCGCGAGGUCAAGCAAAUCCCAUAAAGUUGUUCUCAGUUCGGAUUGUAGUCUGCAACUCGACUACAUGAAGCUGGAAUCGCUAGUAAUCGUAGAUCAGCAUGCUACGGUGAAUACGUUCCCGGGUCU
rnacentral:rRNA from 1 species